AUGGCCACAUCACAUUAAAACACCGAUUCUCGUACGAUCACCGAAGUUAAGAAACGUCGAGCCUGGUCAGUACCUAGGCGGGUAACCGUUUGGGAAUAUCAAGUGCCGUAAG